CGACUGCUAAUACCGCAUAACGUGCCGAGAGGGCAUCCUCUUGGUACCAAAGUCUUUAUGUGCUGAAAGAUGGUCUCGCGUCUGAUUAGCUAGAUGGCGGGGUAACGGCCCACCAUGGCGACGAUCAGUAGCCGGUCUGAGAGGAUGAACGGCCACAUUGGGACUGAGAUACGGCCCAGACUCCUACGGGAGGCAGCAGGUGGGGAAUAUUGGGCAAUGGGGGAAACCCUGACCCAGCAACGCCGCGUGAAGGAAGAAGGCCUUCGGGUUGUAAACUUCUUUUAGCAGGGACGAAGAACGUGACGGUACCUGCAGAAAAGCAACGGCUAACUACGUG
rnacentral:rRNA from 1 species